GACGAACGCUGGCGGCGUGCUUAACACAUGCAAGUCGAACGGAAAGGCCCUGCUUUUGUGGGGUGCUCGAGUGGCGAACGGGUGAGUAACACGUGAGUAACCUGCCCUUGACUUUGGGAUAACUUCAGGAAACUGGGGCUAAUACCGGAUAGGAGCUCCUGCUGCAUGGUGGGGGUUGGAAAGUUUCGGCGGUUGGGGAUGGACUCGCGGCUUAUCAGCUUGUUGGUGGGGUAGUGGCUUACCAAGGCUUUGACGGGUAGCCGGCCUGAGAGGGUGACCGGCCACAGUGGGACUGAGAUACGGCCCAGACACCUACGGGAGGCAGCAGUGGGGAAUAUUGCACAAGGGGCGGAAGCCGGAUGCAGCAACGCCGCGGGCGGGAUGACGGCCUUCGGGUUGUAAACCGCUUUCGCAUGUGACGAAGCGUGAGUGACGGUAAUGGGUAAAGAAGCACCGGCUAACUACGUGC
rnacentral:rRNA from 1 species